GUCAAGUGAGAAUACCCGCUGAACUUAAGCAUAUCAAUAAGCGGAGGAAAAGAAACUAACAAGGAUUCCCUCAGUAACGGCGAGUGAACCGGGAAAAGCUCAAAUUUAAAAUCGCUUGGGUUUACCUGAGUGAGUUGUAAUUUGAAGAAAGUGUUUCGACUUUUCGGGUUUGAUCCAAAUCCUUUGGGAUGAGGUAUCAUAGAGGGUGAGAAUCCCGUUCAUGAUUGAACCUGAGUUGUCAAUUGAUUCAUUUUCUAAGAGUCGAGUUGUUUGGGAUUGCAGCUCAAAAUGGGUGGUAAACUUCACCUAAGGCUAAAUAUCUGCAAGAGACCGAUAGCGAACAAGUACCGUGAGGGAAAGAUGAAAAGAACUUUGAAAAGAGAGUUAAAAAGUACGUGAAAUUGUUGAAAGGGAACGAUUGAAGUCAGUCAUGCUAGCGAGGAAUCAACUUGGUGGUGUGAGUCUCUCAUCUCCUCCGUGUGCACUUCCUCGUCUGGCAGGUUAGCAUCAAUUUUGAUUGUCAUCAAAUAAUUGGGGGUAAUGUGGCUUCUCUUCGGUGGAGUGUUAUAGACCCUGGUGGAUGUGACGAUUGGGAUUGAGGAUUGCAGCGGAUGCCCCUUGGCUAGUCACCUGAUUCCUGGCUGUCACCUCGCUUUCGACAGCUUGCUGACGAUCGUGGGACUCGGCGGUCUAGGUGUCGGUCCGAUCUUAAAUUCGCUAAGGAUGCUGACGUAAUGGCUUUAAACGACCCGUCUUGAAACACGGACCAAGGAGUCUAACAUGUGUGCGAGUGUU
rnacentral:rRNA from 1 species